GGGUUGUCAUGCCAAUGGCAUUGCCCGGUAGCUAAAUGCGGAAGAGAUAAGUGCUGAAAGCAUCUAAGCACGAAACUUGCCCCGAGAUGAGUUCUCCCUGAGACUUUAAGUCUCCUGAAGGAACGUUAAAGACGAUGACGUUGAUAGGCCGGGUGUGUAAGCGCAGCGAUGCGUUGAGCUAACCGGUACUAAUGAACCGUGAGGCUUAACCUUACAACGCCGAAG
rnacentral:rRNA from 1 species